rnacentral:misc_RNA from 1 species
GAGAAAAAAAAAUUGUUGUUAAAAUAUUAUGUGGCAUAUAGAAAAAAUUUUUGAAUCCACCUAGGCAUGCCCGCAUCAUCUUUUAGCUAGAGCUCUCAUCGGAAAGUGAUAUAAGGGAUUUUGGGUUGUAUUAAAUUAAAGUUCGAGUACUUUUGUGAUAUAAAUUGAAGUUCAAGGAUGGUGUUGAUAAAACCCCCAAAAUUCAAGGACGGUGGGUGAAAAUUAGCCCAUUGCGUUGGGAAGCAAUAUUCUUUUUUAAUGGAAGAAGUGAUUAUUAGCUAGGAAUAUUUUGAAAAUUGGAAAUGCAGUGUCAUUGAAAGAGGAAUCUAAUAUUCUAACCGAAAUGCAGUGUCAUGAAAGAGGAACUGCUGUCUCUUAGCUGAUGAAGUUGGGGGGACCCUAAUAAUUCACAUUUUAUUGUAAAGAAAAGGUGCUCCUCUAUUGUUUGAUUGUUGCGCUUUGUGCUUAUAAAAUUUCCAUAAAUAGACUUGGUUAGAUUCUAUUUGAUCACUUGCACUAACUGUCUCUGAAUGAUGCAAAGGAUGACAUAAAGAGAUAUUUUUGUGGAAGGACAAUUGUGAUCAGGAUUAGCCUUUAAAUUCUGAAUUUACACUUUAC